GAUAACUAUAUUAGUGUUCACACCAGCGGACGAUAACUAUAACGAUAACUAUAUUAGUGUUCACACCAGCGGACGAUAACUAUAACGAUAACUAUAUUAGUGUUCACACCAACGGACGAUAACUAUAACGAUAACUAUAUUAGUGUUCACACCAGCGGACGAUAACUAUAACGAUAACUAUAUCAGUGUUCACACCAGCGGACGAUAACUAUAACGAUAACUAUAUUAGUGUUCACACCAGCGGACGAUAACUAUAACGAUAACUAUAUUAGUCUCCACACCAGCGGACGAUAACUAUAACGAUAACUAUAUUAGUGUUCACACCAGCGGACGAUAACUAUAACGAUAACUAUAUUAGUGUCCACACCAGCGGACGAUAACUA